AAGGUUGCGAACGUCUUCAUUCUUGCCAGG
rnacentral:piRNA from 1 species